rnacentral:rRNA from 1 species
UACAGAGGGUGCGAGCGUUAAUCGGAAUUACUGGGCGUAAAGCGCGCGUAGGCGGCUUUGCAAGUCGGGUGUGAAAUCCCCAGGCUUAACCUGGGAACUGCAUUCGAGACUGCAUUGCUAGAGUAUGGGAGAGGGAAGUGGAAUUUCCGGUGUAGCGGUGAAAUGCGUAGAUAUCGGGAGGAACACCAGUGGCGAAGGCGACUACCUGGCCUGUUCUUGACGCUGAGGCGCGAAAGCUGGGGGAGCAAACGGG